rnacentral:rRNA from 1 species
GCAAGUCGAACGAGAAUGGAUGGCGGUAGCAAUACCGUCGUCUUAGUAAAGUGGCGAACGGGUGAGUAACACGUAGCUAACCUGCCCUUCAGUGGGGGAUAACCCUGCGAAAGUAGGGCUAAUACCGCAUGAUGUCUCCGGAGCACAGGCCCCGGAGAGCAAAGCUUGUAAUGGCGCUGAUGGAGGGAGCUGCGGACGACUAGCUUGUUGGCGGGGUAACGGCCCACCAAGGCGACAAUCGUUAGCCGGCCUGAGAGGGCGCACGGCCACACUGGAACUGAAACACGGUCCAGACUCCUACGGGAGGCAGCAGUGGGGAAUUUUGCACAAUGCCCGAAAGGGUGAUGCAGCAACGCCGCGUGGAGGAUGAAGGUCCUCGGAUCGUAAACUCCUUUCGACCCGGAAGAAAUCCCGGUGAAGAGCCGGGUUUGACGGUACGGGGGGAAGAAGCCCCGGCAAACUACGUGCCAGCAGCCGCGGUAAUACGUAGGGGGCAAGCGUUGUUCGGAAUUACUGGGCGUAAAGGGCGUGUAGGCGGUUCGGUAAGUCUCGUGUGAAAUUUCCCCGCUUAACGGGGAAAAGUCGCGAGAAACUGCCGGGCUAGAGUGCGGAAGAGGGGAGCGGAAUUCCCGGUGUAGCGGUGAAAUGCGU